rnacentral:rRNA from 1 species
AGAGUUUGAUCCUGGCUCAGGACGAACGCUGGCGGUGUGCUUCACACAUGCAAGUCGAGCGAAUGAAGUAGGUAGCUUGCUACUUAUGGAUUUAGCGGCGGACGGGUGAGUAAUAUAUAGGAAUCUGCCUUAGAGCGGGGAACAACAGACCGAAAGGUUUGCUAAUGCCCCAUAGGUAUGCAGUCUUCGGAUUGUAUAUUAAAGGAGUAAUCCACUCUAAGAUGAGCCUGUAUCCGAUUAGCUAGUUGGCGGGGUAAAGGCCCACCAAGGCUACGAUCGGUAGUUGGUCUGAGAGGAUGAUCAGCCACAAUGGGACUGAGACACGGCCCAUACUCCUACGGGAGGCAGCAGUGGGGAAUUUUACACAAUGGGGGAAACCCUGAUGUAGCGACACCGCGUGAACGAAGAAGCCUUUUGGGGUGUAAAGUUCUGUCGGCUGGAACGAAAAAAAUGACGGUACCAGCAAAGGAAGCAUCGGCUAACUACGUGCCAGCAGCCGCGGUAAGACGUAGGAUGCAAGCGUUGUCCGGAUUUAUUGGGCGUAAAGAGUUUGUAGGCGGUUAUUUAAGUCUGAUGUUAAAUACUGUGGCCCAACCACAGAACUGCAUUGGAUACUGGAUGACUUGAGUGCAGUAGAGGCGAGUGGAAUUCUCAGUGUAGCGGUGAAAUGCGUAGA